UUUGGUUAUCCACUCGUGAUUUGGUGUCUACGAAAUAAAAGGAAUAAGGAGACUUGAUAUUUUUCAUGUAAUGCUGCCAAUGAUUGCCGUAACGAUACUGCUAUUCCGGCUAUGUCGCUGUGAAAAUGUGCUGCUUUACACCUCGAGCGUCUUGUACGGAACUAUGGAUACAUUCAGGAUAAAGAAUUAAAGGAAACUAUAUAAUUCAAAUAAGGUGGCUUUGAGUUGCGCGUCUUUAAUCAGAUUGUCUCUAAGCAACAGUUACACAUAUUCUUCAUAUGUGAAAACAAAAAAUAGGUUGAAUCGGCAACAAUCAUAAAACAAUGAAUAUACCGCAUUGUUUCUGCCACUUCCUAACUUUCACAUUUGAACUGCUUCGUCAGUUGCCGGUGUCACCAAUUCAGCAAAUGCAUUACAUUGUGAAUUUACCUCGUCUAAAUCAGAAAAGCAUUACACGAGUAUUGGACUGGAUGGAAUCACUUGGAAUAGAAUUAUGAUGGCUCGAAAUGUUUUAUCAGUAUACUGUAAAUUCUCGAACCAAUACAAACAUGAGCUGAGAGGAAAUUUACUAAUGCUAUAACAUUUUAUUGUAUAGUCGUUGAUUCUGUAGUAUAGUUAUGUAUAUCAUAGUAUAGUCAUAUUGCAUAGUGAUAGUAUCAGUAUAA